rnacentral:rRNA from 1 species
AGCUUUUUGUAAAUAUAAAAAGUAUAACCUGCCCAAUGAAAUUUUAAUGGCCGCAGUAUUUUGACUGUGCAAAGGUAGCAUAAUCAUUUGCUUUAUAAAUUAAAGCUUGUAUGAAUGGUAAAAUGUAAAUAUAACUGUCUUUUAUUUAUAAUUAAAAUUUGUCUUUUUAGUGAAGAGACUGAAACAAUUUAGAAAGACGAGAAGACCCUAAUGAGUUUUAUAAAUAAUAUAUUAUAUAAUUAUAUUAUAUCUUUUAUUGGGGCAAUUGAAGAAUAUAUUUUCUUUUAAAAAGAAAAAAUAAUAAUUUAGGAACCAUUAUUAAUGGUAAAAGUUUAAAUUACCAUAGGGAUAACAGCAUAAUUUUUUUUGAGAGUACUAAUCGACAAAAAAGAUUGUGACCUCGAUGUUGGGUUAAGAUAAUUUUAAGAUGAAGAAGUUUUAAAAAUAAGUCUGUUCGACUUAUAAAAUCUUACA